rnacentral:rRNA from 1 species
UACGUAGGGUGCGAGCGUUAAUCGGAAUUACUGGGCGUAAAGCGUGCGCAGGCGGUUCGUUGUGUCGGCGGUGAAAGCCCCGGGCUUAACCUGGGAAUGGCCGUUGAAACUGGCGAACUGGAGUGUGGCAGAGGGGGUGGAAUUCCGCGUGUAGCAGUGAAAUGCGUAGAGAUGCGGAGGAACACCGAUGGCGAAGGCAGCCCCCUGGGCUAACACUGACGCUCAGGCACGAAAGCGUGGGAGCAACAGG